GAUGAACGCUGGCGGCGUGCUUAACACAUGCAAGUCGAACGAACCUUCGGGUUAGUGGCGGACGGGUGAGUAACGCGUGAGAAUUUGCCCUCAGGAGGGGGAUAACGGCUGGAAACGGCCGCUAAUACCCCAUAUGCCGAGAGGUGAAAUGAAUUUUGCCUGAGGAUGAGCUCGCGUUUGAUUAGCUAGUUGGUGGGGUAAAGGCCUACCAAGGCAUCGAUCAGUAGCUGGUUUGAGAGGAUGAUCAGCCACACUGGGACUGAGACACGGCCCAGACUCCUACGGGAGGCAGCAGUGGGGAAUUUUCCGCAAUGGGCGCAAGCCUGACGGAGCAACGCCGCGUGAGGGAUGAAGGCCUUUGGGCUGUAAACCUCUUUUAUCAAGGAAGAAGAUCUGACGGUACUUGAUGAAUAAGCCACGGCUAAUUCCGUG
rnacentral:rRNA from 1 species